GUCCAAUGGAUAGCUCAGUUGGUUAGAGUGUGGUGCAGAUAAUCCCCAGGUUGCAGGUUUGAUCCCUGUAUGGGACA